ensembl:misc_RNA Metazoa_SRP Metazoan signal recognition particle RNA
GCCAGGCAUGGUUGUGUGUGUCUGUAGUCCCAGCUACUCAGGAGGCUGAGGCAGGAGGAUUGCUUGAGCCCAGGAAGUCUAGGGUGCAGUAAGCCGUGAUCAUGCCAUUGCACUCAGCCUGGGUGACAGAGCAAGACCCUGUCUCAA